rnacentral:rRNA from 1 species
AUUGAACGCUGGCGGCAGGCUUAACACAUGCAAGUCGAGCGGAGAUGAGGUGCUUGCACCUUAUCUUAGCGGCGGACGGGUGAGUAAUGCUUAGGAAUCUGCCUAUUAGUGGGGGACAACAUUCCGAAAGGAAUGCUAAUACCGCAUACGCCCUACGGGGGAAAGCAGGGGAUCUUCGGACCUUGCGCUAAUAGAUGAGCCUAAGGCGGAUUAGCUAGUUGGUGGGGUAAAGGCCUACCAAGGCGACGAUCUGUAGCGGGUCUGAGAGGAUGAUCCGCCACACUGGGACUGAGACACGGCCCAGAGUGCAACGGGAGGCAGCAGUGGGGAAUAUUGGACAAUGGGCGGAAGCCUGAUCCAGCCAUGCCGCGUGUGUGAAGAAGGCCUUUUGGUUGUAAAGCACUUUAAGCGAGGAGGAGGCUACCUGGAUUAAUACUCUAGGAUAGUGGACGUUACUCGCAGAAUAAGCACCGGCUAACUCUGUGCCAGCCGCCGCCGUAACAC